rnacentral:rRNA from 1 species
UGAGGAAUAUUGGUCAAUGGGCGAAAGCCUGAUCCAGCCAUGCCGCGUGAGUGAAGAAGGCCUUCGGGUUGUAAAGCUCUUUUAGUCGGAAAGAAAGAGUUGCAAUGAAUAAUUGUGAUUUAUGACGGUACCGACAGAAAAAGCACCGGCUAACUACGUGCCAGCAGCCGCGGUAAUACGUAGGGUGCGAGCGUUAAUCGGAAUUACUGGGCGUAAAGGGUGCGCAGGCGGUCUUGCAAGUCAGAUGUGAAAGCCCCGGGCUUAACCUGGGAAUUGCGUUUGAAACUACAAGGCUAGAGUGCAGCAGAGGGGAGUGGAAUUCCAUGUGUAGCAGUGAAAUGCGUAGAGAUGUGGAAGAACACCGAUGGCGAAGGCAGCUCCCUGGGUUGACACUGACGCUCAUGCACGAAAGCGUGGGGAGCAAACA